rnacentral:rRNA from 2 species
AUACAUGCAGUCGAGCGGACAGAUGGGAGCUUUGCUCCCUGAUGUUAGCGGCGGACGGGUGAGUAACACGUGGGUAACCUGCCUGUAAGACUGGGAUAACUUCCGGGGAAACCGGGGCUAAUACCGAAUGGUUGUUUGAACGCAUGGUUCAAACAUAAAAAGGUGGCUUCGGCUACCACUUACAGAAUGGACCCGCGGCGCAUUAGCUUAGUUUGGUGAGGUAACGGCUCACCCAGGGAAACGAUGCGUAGCCGACCUGAGGGGGGGGAUCGGGCCACACUGGGACUGAGACACGGCCCCAGGACUCCUAACGGGAGGCAGCAGUAGGAUCUUCCGCAAUGGACGAAAGUUUGACGGAAGCACGCCGCGUGAGUGAUAAAGGUUUUCGGAUCGUAAAGCUCUGUUGUUAGGGAAGAACAAGUACCGUUCGAAUAGGGCGGUACCUUGACGGUACCUAACCAGAAAGCCACGGCUAACUACGUGCCAGCAGCCGCGGUAAUACGUAGGUGGCAAGCGUUGUCCGGAAUUAUUGGGCGUAAAGGGCUCGCAGGCGGUUUCUUAAGUCUGAUGUGAAAGCCCCCGGCUCAACCGGGGAGGGUCAUUGGAAACUGGGGAACUUGAGUGCAGAAGAGGAGAGUGGAAUUCCACGUGUAGCGGUGAAAUGCGUAGAGAUGUGGAGGAACACCAGUGGCGAAGGCGACUCUCUGGUCUGUAACUGACGCUGAGGAGCGAAAGCGUGGGGAGCGAACAGGAUUAGAUACCCUGGUAAGUCCACGCCCGGUAAACGAUGAGU